GACGAGGAUACUGUGUGUGCAGAGGAAAGAAGAGAGCCGGGUCUAUCAUAGACUGCAGCGGACCACGUGGGAAAAGGUAACGCUGACCCUGACGUGAGGAGAAGUUGAAAGUCGCAUUGGAUUUCAUCCAAAUGACUCGUCAGCUGCAAAAGGUGAAACCUGCACACUACAGUGCAUCAUGUGGGAUCAAUAGCUGUCCCGCCAAAAAGUCAUCCUUAAAGAGGGUCUCCGGAAGAGCAAAGGUCACUGAGGAGAAACACGUACUGUAUGAGAGGGAAAACGAGCAGGGAGGGAGACCCACGUGCAGUCCAGGACCUCCUCCAUCAUAUGAAAAGCUUUGUCAUCAAUAAAUCAGACG